UCCAAAAAGGUAAUAGGUGCACUCAUAGGUCUUGUUUCCCGUGUUUCUUUUAUUUGGUUGUGCCGACUGGUCGGUAGUAUUUGAUUUUGCACAUGUAAUUUGCACAACUAAAUAAAAGAACCACUGGAAAUAAGACCUAUGAGUGCACCUAUUACCUUUUUGGA